CAUUAGCCCUUGUUACGCGUCCAUGGAUACAAAAUGGCGACAAUAAAAUUCCGAUAAAAAAUUAUGGUGCUGUACGACAAUAUAAAUAUCAAUCAAAAAGUGGAAGUUCUCCGAAAUGGUCGUAUUUAUCCAGCCACCGUAAAAUAUAAAGGAACGUUGAAUGGUGUUGGUGGAGACUGGGUCGGAGUUUCAUUCGAUCUGCCUAUAGGAAAGCACGAUGGUAUGCUAGCUGGAAGGAGAUACUUCCAAUGUAAGGAUAAGCAUGGAUUGUUUACUCAAGCCUUGAAUAUAAGAUUCCUACCAUCAAGAAGAUGUUUAUAUAACAAGUAUAGGACGGUUAGCAGAAACUCAGAAGUAGAAGAGGAUCUAUUUACAAGUAUACCUAGUAAGUCAACCCUAAUUACAAUUCGUUAGAUUGUCAGUAAAGUUAUUUUAGAAGAGUACUCAAUAAUAAAAGUAAAUCAGUGGGGUCAGGAAAAUAUCGUUUAGCUGGUAACAAAAAUUAAAAAUCGAUUUACUUCGUAAUUAAUUGAAAAGUAUAGGCUGUAGAGCGAUUAGUAGAGCGAAAGAUCUUAUAAUUCCGUCUUAUAGGCCUUAACUUAUAAAUAUCUAAGGAAUAGCAGAAUGGUAAAAAGUUUUUAUUGAAAAGUAAUAAAAUAUUUCGUAAAAAACUAAAAUAUUUUUUUAAUAAAAGAUUAGUUUUAUUAUGUUGUAAAAAAUGUUUUAUUCGUUUAUUCAUAUAUCUCUUUAUCUUUCUUUCUCCCUCUCUCUUUCUCUCUCUCUCUCUCUCUCUCUCUCUUUUCGUUUAGAAUAUCCUCAUCAAUUCGGUAGCAUAUCAGAAGAUUACGUAUUGGAUGCAGACAGGAAAUUUUCAAGUCCACAACCUUUGCUCACUCAAACUUUUCCCCUACGUCAUGCAAUUUCCAGGACCGUUCCUCCUGCAACUACUGUUCGUAAUGUUCAUACCGCACGUUCUUUAACUGCAACCUAUCGAUCUACUCCGAUACAUUAUGAAUAUGAGAACGAAGAUACGAAUUUUUGCCCCACACCGACUAUCCCAAAGACGCACAUGCCGCACGAAGCGCUCAUUGAUCAAGUUCGGCGUGGAUGGAGUGCCAGGGAUCAUUACGUAAGAGAAUUAUCUGUUAACACGGCAAGAGACAGUAUUAAAUUCAAUUUAUGGAAUGAUAUCUCCGUCUAAAGUUUGAUUGAUUAUUAUUUAUUCAUUACUUUAUUUAUUUACAAGUCGUUUUUUCCCCCCUUCCCUUCCGCCUUACUUUACUACCCUUCCCCUUAUUUUAUAAACACAGAAUACAGGUUUUGAAACUUAAAAUUUUACAGUUUUGCAGUCAGCAUUACAAUGGGCAUUUCUAGAUGAAUAUUUUGGCAAAAAACAAAUACACUGUACAAACAAAUAUUUAAGAAUUUUUUAAAAAAUUAGACGACACUUCCAAAAUCUUCCUGCGAUUUUUUCAUGAUCGAUGCUAAGUGUAGAGUUUCCAACUCUGAUAAUACAUAUUCCUUUCGUUGUACUGGCUCUGUUUCAGUCUUCUUCUCCGAUGGUUUGUCUAUUUUAUUUUUUAGACAUAAUAACUUGGAUGCAAUCUAAGAGAGGUGCAAAAUGUGAGUAAAUACGAGGAGAUACGGGUGAUGAGGAGCUUGGAUCCACAUAUUCAGUUGUAAAUAAGGAAAUAGCUAAUAACGAAUAAAUUAGAUCAGUUACAGAAUGAAAUGUCAUAUAAACGGACGGAGAAGAUUUCAUUUUCCUGAUGUUAAAGAUGAUAAUUAAAAUGAUAUUCCCAAAUAAGCCAAAACUUGAUAUUAGAGGUAAUGAUAUACCAAACACAAAAAAUUCCGGAGAACCAGCCUUUUCUCUUUCAAAGCUAUUAGCCGCCAGAGACAUAUCUCAAUCGACAACUAACCCUCUUUCGUUAAAUAGAAAUGAUAUAGUGAUACAUUUGGCCCAUAAACGGAAAUUAUAGUUAUAACAAAGAAAUAUUGAAUAAGUCAGUGAUGAUUGAAAAAUAUUUGAAAGGCCUAAAUAUUCAGCAUGUGUUAGGAUAUAUAUAGUUUUUUUUUCUAACAAUAAUACUGUUAUAUAUGAUUUUAUAGUC
rnacentral:misc_RNA from 1 species